GAACACAAUUCUGAUUUCUCUUCUUCCUCACUUCGUUUUCUCUGUUCUCUAUAGCUUGAAUCGAACAAAUGUGCUUCUUCCCAUAUACAAGUUUCAGGCAAAGGUUUCGCUUCAUGUGCUAGGUACACUUUAUUGAGGUUCAAAGGUAAUGCUUAGGAGUAGCUUUUUUCUUUCCCAGCAACAUCAUUAGAUUUUUAUUAUACUGGAAGAUAUCACAUAAAUAAGAAAAGUGUGCCCAUUAAAUCUAUUUAUCCGCAAUGCAAAGACAAGGAGAUAUUCAUCCGUUUCAGUUUAUGUGAACCUAUUUCCUUUUUGGUCCGUUUAAAAAUGAAUGACCUCUUUCUAAAUUUAGAAACAAUUUAGCUUAAAGUUCCAAUUCUACCCUUAAUGAGAUAUUUUUAUAACCACACAAAUACUCUGGGCUCCUUUUUGACUUGUUUAUGACCGCAAAUUUCUUAAAGUUUUCAAUUUUUCUUUAAUUCCAUGCCCAGUCAAACACGUUCAAUAAAUUGGAACUGAAGGAGUACUAAUUAGAAUUAUGGUUUAUUUGUUCUGUCACUCUUACAUUGGGUCAGGUGUUUGUUUACCAAGUUUUUUUCUAGUUUGGUCAGGAACUUGUGUGUCAGUGCCGGAUAAGUGUGAGAUUUGAAGAACCUCUAGUUUGCCUAAACAGAUAAUUUAUUUAAUAUUGAAAUAAUAUAGACAAAAUGGAGCCGGAGGUUACAGAAGAUUCAUAUGGCAACCCAACUAAUUUAGGAUUGAGAAUAGUUGAUUGAUCCAUAGAGGCAACAGAAGAGCAUAGAUUGUUGAUGAGGAAGUCUUCUGUGUCAUACAUCUGGUUACCAUGUAUUUCUUUUACUUUGGGUGGGUUUAGAAUGUUUGUCGGGUUUAUAUAUGGCAUAUCAAAUUGCUACUCUUGAUCACUGGCAAGUCCCUAAAAGCUGUUUAACUUUAGACUCGAGUGGAGUAAGAGGGCUAAGCCUCUAGGGGAGCCUUCAGGGACUUGGCAAGACAGGUGGAUUAAAGAGUUAGAGCGGGGCAAAUCGAAACUCCUGUCCGUCGGGAUUGUCAUGGACUAGCUGCCUCAACAACAUUUUUGGCCACAACUGUUUUGGCAUGUGCAGCUGGAGCAUAUUAUUCUACAAAGUUAUCUUUCCCAGAAUCAAUGUGAUCCGUGCAAACGACUUGGAAUAUGCAGGGAAGCUUGAGAGGAUGAGAUACAUGCUGCUAGAAACUUCCUAGAACAAAUGCAUGCUGGUCAUAAGCCAAGUGUGGAUGCAAUUGAAUAAGACCAUGAUAAAA